CUCAUCCUGGCUCGAGGGCCUCAAUAGGGAUAGAAGCACAUCUUGUCAUUUCGCAAGAAUGGAUAUUGUUACAAGUACAUGUAAAGAGGAGAUGAGUAUAUGGAAUUGGCUUACACUCGCCACAAGCUAAAUCAUGAUCACCUCAAUUACAAUCAUACAUAUCAAUCAUCAUACACAAAAAGCAGGCUCUGUCUAUGGACGAAAUCAAAGAUAAAAGCAACAUGCAACCCUGCAAAUCCUAGGCUGCCACCCUGAAGCCCAUC
rnacentral:lncRNA from 1 species